rnacentral:rRNA from 1 species
GAUGAACGCUAGCGGCAGGCCUAAUACAUGCAAGUCGAACGGUGUCUUCGGACAUAGUGGCGCACGGGUGCGUAACACGUAUGCAACCUACCUUACAUUGGGGGAUAGCCUUUCGAAGGGGAGAUUAAUACCGCAUAAGACAGUAGCUGGGCAUCCAGCAGCUGUUAAAGAUUUAUCGAUGUAAGCUGGGCAUGCGUCCAAUUAGCUAGUUGGUGAGGUAACGGCUCACCAAGGCAAUGAUUGGUAGGGGAACUGAGAGGUCAAUCCCCCACACUGGCACUGAGAUACGGGCCAGACUCCUACGGGAGGCAGCAGUAGGGAAUAUUGGGCAAUGGACGCAAGUCUGACCCAGCCAUGCCGCGUGCAGGAUGAAGGCGUUACGCGUUGUAAACUGCUUUUAUACAGGAAGAAACGACUCUUGCGAGAGGCAUUGACGGUACUGUAUGAAUAAGCACCGGCUAACUCCGUGCCAGCAGCCGCAGUAACAC